rnacentral:rRNA from 1 species
AGGCAGCAGGUGGGGGAAUAGUUGCGCAAGUGGACGAAAGUCUGACGCAGCGACGCCGCGUGGAGGAUGAAGGUUUUCGGAUCGUAAACUCCUGUCAAGAGGGAAGAAACCUAUUAUGAAUAAUACUCAUAGUAAUUGACGGUACCUCUAGAGGAAGCACCGGCUAAUUCAGUGCCAGCAGCCGCGGUAAUACUGAAGGUGCAAGCGUUAAUCGGAAUCACUGGGCGUAAAGCGCUCGUAGGUGGCUUUGUAAGUCAGGUGUGAAAGCCCACGGCUCAACCGUGGAAUUGCACUUGAUACUGCAUCGCUAGAGUAUAGGAGAGGGAAGUGGAAUUUCUGGUGUAGGAGUGAAAUCCGUAGAGAUCAGAAGGAACACCCGUGGCGAAGGCGACUUCUUGGACUAUUACUGACACUGAGGAGCGAAAGCGUGGGGAGCAAACAGGAUUAGAUACCCUGGUAG